AUUGAACGCUGGCGGCAGGCCUAACACAUGCAAGUCGAGCGAGCGGCGGACGGGUGAGUAAUGUCUGGGAAACUGCCUGAUGGAGUGGGAUCACUACUGGAAACGGUGGCUAAUACCGCAUACCAUCAGAUGUUCCCAGAUGGGAUUAGCUAGUAGGUGGGGUAACGGCUCACCUAGGCGACGAUCCCUAGCUGGUCUGAGAGGAUGACCAGCAACACUGGAACUGAUACACGGCCCAGACUCCUACGGGAGGCAGCAGUGGGGAAUAUUGCACAAUUGGCGGAAGCCUGAUGCAGCCAUGCCGCGUGUAUGAAGAGGGCCUUCGGGUUGUAAAGUACUUUCAGCGGCGAGGCGUUACCCGCAGAAGAAGCACCUGCUAACUCCGUGCCAGCAGCCGCGGUAAUUC
rnacentral:rRNA from 1 species